CUGGGAGGACCAUCUCCUAAGGCUAAAUACUCUCUAGUGACCGAUAGUGAACCAGUACCGUGAGGGAAAGGUGAAAAGCACCCCGGAAGGGGAGUGAAAUAGAACCUGAAACCGUGUGCUUACAAGUAGUCAGAGCCCGUUAAUGGGUGAUGGCGUGCCUUUUGUAGAAUGAACCGGCGAGUUACGAUUUGAUGCAAGGUUAAGCAGUAAAUGUGGAGCCGUAGCGAAAGCGAGUCUGAAUAGGGCGUUUAGUAUUUGGUCGUAGACCCGAAACCAGGUGAUCUACCCUUGGUCAGGUUGAAGUUCAGGUAACACUGAAUGGAGGACCGAACCGACUUACGUUGAAAAGUGAGCGGAUGAACUGAGGGUAGCGGAGAAAUUCCAAUCGAACCUGGAGAUAGCUGGUUCUCUCCGAAAUAGCUUUAGGGCUAGCCUCAAGUGAUGAUUAUUGGAGGUAGAGCACUGUUUGGACGAGGGGCCCCUCUCGGGUUACCGAAUUCAGACAAACUCCGAAUGCCAAUUAAUUUAACUUGGGAGUCAGAACAUGGGUGAUAAGGUCCGUGUUCGAAAGGGAAACAGCCCAGACCACCAGCUAAGGUCCCAAAAUAUAUGUUAAGUGGAAAAGGAUGUGGCGUUGCCCAGACAACUAGGAUGUUGGCUUAGAAGCAGCCAUCAUUUAAAGAGUGCGUAAUAGCUCACUAGUCGAGUGACACUGCGCCGAAAAUGUACCGGGGCUAAACAUAUUACCGAAGCUGUGGAUUGUCCUUUGGACAAUGGUAGGAGAGCGUUCUAAGGGCGUUGAAGCAUGAUCGUAAGGACAUGUGGAGCGCUUAGAAGUGAGAAUGCCGGUGUGAGUAGCGAAAGACGGGUGAGAAUCCCGUCCACCGAUUGACUAAGGUUUCCAGAGGAAGGCUCGUCCGCUCUGGGUUAGUCGGGUCCUAAGCUGAGGCCGACAGGCGUAGGCGAUGGAUAACAGGUUGAUAUUCCUGUACCACCUAUAAUCGUUUUAAUCGAUGGGGGGACGCAGUAGGAUAGGCGAAGCGUGCGAUUGGAUUGCACGUCUAAGCAGUAAGGCUGAGUAUUAGGCAAAUCCGGUACUCGUUAAGGCUGAGCUG
rnacentral:rRNA from 1 species